GGUGCAGAUGAUGACGUCUAUUCAGCGACCAAAGUCUGACAAAAAUGAUUGCUACCUUAUUGUCUGAUGCACU
ensembl:snoRNA SNORD4A small nucleolar RNA Z17